rnacentral:misc_RNA from 1 species
AUUCACGACUAUAACGUGAAGAUGAAGAACGUGGUGAAAUUCCUCGAGAACGGCGACAAGGUGAAGGUCACCCUGCGCUUCCGCGGCCGCGAGAUGGCGCACCAGGAUCUCGGGCGCGACCUGCUCGAACGCGUGGCCGACGACGUGAAGGAAAUCGGCAAGAUCGAGAACAUGCCGAAGAUGGAAGGCCGCCAGAUGGUGAUGAUGAUCGGCCCGCUUCCCUCGAAGGCGUGAUCCGGCACGCUGCAUGAAUUCGGGCCCCCGGCGGUUGAUCCUCCGGGGGCUUUUCUUUUGAGGGAAUGGCAGACCGAUGAGUUUCUGGAACGA